AAAGGUAAGCUACUAAGAGCGAAUGGUGGAUGCCUUGACUGGUAAAGGCGAUGAAGGACGUACUAGACUGCGAUAAGCUACGGGGAGCUGUCAAGAAGCUUUGAUCCGUAGAUUUCCGAAUGGGGCAACCCAAUGUAUAGAGAUAUACAUUACCUAUAUAGGAGCGAACGAGGGGAAUUGAAACAUCUUAGUACUCUCAGGAAAAGAAAUCAAUAGAGAUUGCGUCAGUAGCGGCGAGCGAAAGCGCAAGAGGGCAAACCCAGUGCUUGCACUGGGGGUUGUAGGACUGCAAUGUGCAAGAGGUAAGUUUAGCAGAACAUUCUGGAAAGUAUAACCAUAGAGGGUGAUAGUCCCGUAUGCGAAAAACAAACCUUAGCUAGCAGUAUCCUGAGUAGGGCGGGACACGAGGAAUCCUGUCUGAAUCCGGGUCGACCACGAUCCAACCCUAAAUACUAAUACCAGAUCGAUAGUGCACAAGUACCGUGAGGGAAAGGUGAAAAGAACUGAGGUGAUCAGAGUGAAAUAGAACCUGAAACCAU
rnacentral:rRNA from 1 species